rfam:Schistosoma rodhaini strain Burundi genome assembly, scaffold: SROB_scaffold0003876
AUCCAGCUGACGAGUUUCAAAUAGGACGAAACAUUUGUCCUGGAU